GGUUGUGUUGAGCCGAGUCAACUCGGUUCAAACUGAAUCAUCAUGGGUAGUACAGGUGGCUUUAGUGAUAUGUAUGUUCAGACUUGAUGAGGAGCAGGGUACGAUCGCCAGGGAUGCAUGGCUGUAUUUACCUGGAGGAGCUGCAUGAUCUUGCGGCUUAUAUUUAUAUGCUUUCCGCUAUUCUUCAUGUAUUAAAUUCUUGUAAAUCUUGUACUUGUUAAAUUCAGAGACAUUGGUUUGUAUAA